rnacentral:rRNA from 1 species
GAUUGCCGUGCGCAAGCUGGCUUUCCUUGCACUUCCGGUCUAUGUCUUUAUAUACCCCUACACAUGUUUUAGAAUGUCAUUAAUGGGCUUAACUGCCUUUAAAAUCUAUACAACUUUCAACAACGGAUCUCUUGGCUCUCGCAUCGAUGAAGAACGCAGCGAAAUGCGAUAAGUAAUGUGAAUUGCAGAAUUCAGUGAAUCAUCGAAUCUUUGAACGCACCUUGCGCUCCUUGGUAUUCCGAGGAGCAUGCCUGUUUGAGUGUCAUGAAAUUCUCAACCUUUUCAGCAUUUAUGUUGAUCAGGCUUGGAUGUGGGAGUUUGCGGGCUUCUCAGAAGUCGGCUCUCCUUAAAUACAUUAGCGGGACCUUUGUUGCCCAGCUUUAGUGUGAUAAUUAUCUACGCUAUUGUUGAAAGCAGCUCUUAAUAGGGUACAGCUUCUAAUCGUCUCAUUUGAGACAACUUCUGACAAUUUGACCUCAAAUCAGGUAGGACUACCCGCUGAACUUAAGCAUAUCAAUAAGCGGAGGAAAAGAAACUAACAAGGAUUCCCCUAGUAACUGCGAGUGAAGCGGGAAAAGCUCAAAUUUAAA